rnacentral:rRNA from 1 species
GACGAACGCUGGCGGCGUGCUUAACACAUGCAAGUCGAACGAAGAGCGAUGGAAGCUUGCUUCUAUCAAUCUUAGUGGCGAACGGGUGAGUAACGCGUAAUCAACCUGCCCUUCAGAGGGGGACAACAGUUGGAAACGACUGCUAAUACCGCAUACGAUCUAAUCUCGGCAUCGAGGAUAGAUGAAAGGUGGCCUCUACAUGUAAGCUAUCACUGAAGGAGGGGAUUGCGUCUGAUUAGCUAGUUGGAGGGGUAACGGCCCACCAAGGCGAUGAUCAGUAGCCGGUCUGAGAGGAUGAACGGCCACAUUGGGACUGAGACACGGCCCAGACUCCUACGGGAGGCAGCAGUGGGGAAUCUUCCGCAAUGGACGAAAGUCUGACGGAGCAACGCCGCGUGAGUGAUGACGGCCUUCGGGUUGUAAAGCUCUGUUAAUCGGGGACGAAAAGGGCCUUCUGCGAAAUAGUG